UUUGAUAUUCUACCAUCACCAUCAAGUGAUGGUCAAGAGUUGGAUGCUGUAUUCCACCACUAAAUCAGUAAAAAGACAAGCACCAUGUAAUUGCUACCAUCAACAUAUGAAUCCUGUCUGCUUAGUAGAUCUACCACCUCAUUGAGAGUCAACAGAUAAGAUGAUGAAGAGGUACAUGUGAUAUUGAUGAGACAGAGAUUUUAUACCCAGGUUUGAACUCUGUGCAGCCACAUACAGUUCUGGUACACAACGGUCGCUGGUUAUAAACAGAAUAAAGACACAAGUCAAUUGAUUUUGAAAUUAUUUUGUUGUUAGAAACAGCACUUAAAAUUUUAAACAGCAUAUUUUAUGAAAUGUUGCACUAUUUCCAUUUAACCAAAAUACAUGGAAAGUAUAUUAAGGUUAGAAGAACAGGAAACAGUACUUUUAAUGUGCCUACCCCUAUCUAAACCUACUGUAUAAAAUAUUAUCUAGAGUCAUAAAAUAUUAAAAUUAUUUAUACCUAUUUAUAUAUUUACAUGUUAACUGCUUAACUUAUUUAUUUUUUAAAAUUAUGAUUUCACAUUAUGGGUGCACCAGAACUCGGUUCCAGCCGGUUAGUUCCUGCUGGAACUCCGAUUUUUCAGAGUUCCAGCUGGAACUAAUAAAAAAAGCAUGACUGGAACUGGAACUCUGUUGUUUUCAGAGAGAUAGAAUAUCAUACGUUUUUGUGUCAAACAAAAGUUCACAGUAGGAAGGAAUUUGGACUACACAAGGAAAAUGUACAUGAUGUUUAAAGUUUAUCAAUCUUUUUAUUCUCACAUUUGCGAGCCCUCCUUGAUGACUUGAAGUAUCUGCCAGCAGACAAAGUAACAUAUGACUAUACAUGGCUUAAUAAAUCAGUUCUGGCCAGAACUUUUUCGCAGUUCUGGCAGGAACUUUAAAAAUUGGAUCUGGUGCACCCCUAUUUUACAUAUUACUACAGCAUGGCUUAAUGUCAAUAAUAUAUACUAUGGUGUAAUGUGAAAUAAUGUAAAACUGAUGAAGUAUGAAUAAAGUUUAAAAUAUGCCUUAUCAUUGCUUUACUGGACAGUCUGUAUUAAGAAUGAGAUGCAAUGAGUAUUCUCCAAAUGGCUUGCCAAUUUUAAUACACUUUCAAAUGUGGGCAAUGAUUGAGCAAUGUCUGCAGGUUGUGGUGUUUCAGUUCACAUUGUGAUGCUGUUUGGUUGUAUGUCUGAGAUUCAACAUUUACAGGCUUGUGUGUUUUGGUAAAAUGAUCUUUUCUGUUGUCAAUUACAAGCUCAGCCAAACUGUCAUAUAUAGACAAGCCAAAAUAUGAUGAGAUUCAGCCUCCUCCAAGGAAACAAAUCUUUUUCUGUCGGAAUUGUAUACCCUUGACCUUUAAGUCGACUAUCUGAAAGACAGAAAG